ACAAGGGCAUCUGGUGGAUGCCUUGGCGCCAGGAGGCGAUGAAGGACGUGGCACGCUGCGAAAAGCCGCGGGGAGAUGCGAGCAAUCGUUGAUCCGCGGAUGUCCGAAUGGGGCAACCCACCCUUCGGGGUAUCCUGUCCUGAAUCCAUAGGGACAGGAGGCGAACCCGGGGAACUGAAACAUCUCAGUACCCGGAGGAAAAGACAUCAACCGAGAUUCCGCUGGUAGUGGCGAGCGAACGCGGAGCAGGCCAGUGGUUCAGUGCAGAUAACCGGAACGGUCUGGAAAGACCGGCCAGAGCGGGUGACAGCCCCGUACGGGUAAAGGGCACUGGAUCCUUGAGUAAGGCGGGACACGUGUAAUCCUGUCUGAACAUGGGGGGACCACCCUCCAAGCCUAAAUACUCCCUGGCGACCGAUAGUGCACCAGUACCGUGAGGGAAAGGUGAAAAGCACCCCGACGAGGGGAGUGAAAGAGACCUGAAACCGGAUGCCUACAAGCAGUCGGAGCAUCCGGAUGCGGCUUCGGUCGCGUCCGUGUUGUGACGGCGUACCUUUUGUAUAAUGGGUCCGCGAGUUAGUGUCGGCAGCAAGCUUAAGCCGUUAGGUGUAGGCGCAGCGAAAGCGAGUCUGAACAGGGCGUUCAGUUGCCGGUACUAGACCCGAAACCGAGUGAUCUAGCCAUGGCCAGGCUGAAGGUGGGGUAACACCCACUGGAGGGCCGAACCCACGCCUGUUGAAAAAGUCGGGGAUGAGCUGUGGCUAGGGGUGAAAGGCCAAUCAAACUCGGAAAUAGCUGGUUCUCCGCGAAAUCUAUUGAGGUAGAUCGUCGCGUGCUUCGCCCUCGGGGGUAGAGCACUGGAUGGGCUAGGGGGCCCCAAAGGCUUACCAAACCUAACCAAACUCCGAAUACCGAGGAGCGUGACCGCGGCAGACAGUCCCGGGGUGCUAAGGUCCCGGGUCGAGAGGGAAACAACCCAGACCGACAGCUAAGGUCCCCAAGUCGUGGCUAAGUGGGAAAGCAUGUGGGAAGGCCAAAACAACCAGGAGGUUGGCUUAGAAGCAGCCAUCCUUUAAAGAAAGCGUAAUAGCUCACUGGUCUAAUAGCCGUCCUGCGGCGAAAAUGUAACGGGGCUAAAGCCACGCACCGAAGCUUCGGGUGCAGCGCAAGCUGCGCGGUAGCGGAGCGUUCCGUAAGCCUGCGAAGGGCGAUCGUGAGGUCGCCUGGAGGUAUCGGAAGUGCGAAUGCGGACAUGAGUAGCGACAAACAGGGCGAGAAACCCUGUCGCCGAAAGCCCAAGGGUUCCUGCGCAAGGCUAAUCCGCGCAGGGUCAGCCGGCCCCUAAGACGAGGGCGAAAGCCGUAGUCGAUGGGAACCAGGUCAACAUUCCUGGGCCUGCCAGAAGUGACGGCCGUGAACCGUUGUCAUCCCUUAUCGGAUUGGGGUGGCAGCCGGAUCGGUCCAGGAAACAGCUCUGGCAUGAGACCGUACCCGAAACCGACACAGGUGGGCUGGUAGAGAAUACCAAGGCGCUUGAGAGAACGGUGCUGAAGGAACUAGGCAAAUUGCUCGCGUAACUUCGGGAUAAGCGAGCCCCGUCCUUGGGCAACCAUGGGCGGGGGGCACAGAGCAGGGGGUAGCGACUGUUUAUCAAAAACACAGGGCUCUGCGAACUCGAGAGAGGACGUAUAGGGUCUGACGCCUGCCCGGUGCCGGAAGGUUAAGAGGAGAGGUGCAAGCCUUGAAUCGAAGCCCCGGUAAACGGCGGCCGUAACUAUAACGGUCCUAAGGUAGCGAAAUUCCUUGUCGGGUAAGUUCCGACCUGCACGAAUGGCGUAACGACUUCCCCACUGUCUCCAGCACCGACUCAGCGAAAUUGAAUUCCCCGUGAAGAUGCGGGGUACCCGUGGUCAGACGGAAAGACCCUAUGAACCUUUACUGCAACUUUGCACUGGCGUCAGAAGUGGACUGUGUAGGAUAGGCGGGAGGCGAUGAAGCGAGGGCGCCAGCUCUCGUGGAGCCAACCUUGAAAUACCGCCCUGGCUUCUUUUGACGUCUAACCCAGUCCGGUCAGCCCGGGCGGGGACCGUGCAUGGUGGGCAGUUUGACUGGGGCGGUCGCCUCCCAAAGUGUAACGGAGGCGCGCGAUGGUGGGCUCAAGCCGGUCGGACAUCGGCUGUCGAGUGCAAAGGCAUAAGCCCGCCUGACUGCGAGAGUGACAGCUCGAGCAGAGACGAAAGUCGGCCUUAGUGAUCCGGUGGUCCCUCGUGGACGGGCCAUCGCUCAACGGAUAAAAGGUACUCUAGGGAUAACAGGCUGAUCUCCCCCAAGAGUCCACAUCGACGGGGAGGUUUGGCACCUCGAUGUCGGCUCAUCGCAUCCUGGGGCUGGAGCAGGUCCCAAGGGUUCGGCUGUUCGCCGAUUAAAGCGGUACGUGAGCUGGGUUCAGAACGUCGUGAGACAGUUCGGUCCCUAUCUGCCAUGGGUGUCGGAGACUUGAGAGGAUCUGUCCCUAGUACGAGAGGACCGGGAUGGACGUACCUCUGGUGGGCCGGUUGUCGCGCCAGCGGCACAGCCGGGUAGCCAAGUACGGACGGGAUAACCGCUGAAAGCAUCUAAGCGGGAAACCCACCUCAAGACGAGGUCUCCCUGAAGAGCCGUGGAAGACCACCACGUCGAUAGGCCGGAUGUAUAAGCGCGGCAACGCGUUCAGCUAACCGGUACUAAUCGCUCGUUCGGCUUGU
rnacentral:rRNA from 1 species